AACCUAGCACACCUGCGGUGUGUACCUGCGGAGGGAUCAUUACAGAGUUGCAAAACUCCCACAAACCAUCGCGAACCUUACCCGUACGGUUGCCUCGGCGCUGGCGGUCCGGAAGGCCCUCGGGCCCCCGGAUCCUCGGGCCUCCCGCUCGCGGGAGGCUGCCCGCCGGAGUGCCGAAACCAAACUCUUGAUAUUUUUUGUCUCUCUGAGUAAACUUUUAAAUAAGUCAAAACUUUCAAC
rnacentral:misc_RNA from 1 species